AAUUCCUUUUACUUUGAACACAGCACACCACAAACCCCCCUGCCCCCUUCUCUCUCGAUCAUCCUUUUACUUCGACAUGCCAGCCGGUGCCGGAGAAGUUGGUAAUCGUCGUUGUUAGCCGGCCGCUCUCCGACAACCACGCCGGUGAUGUGACGAUGAUGAUUGGAUGAUGACGAGGCUCCGACAGCGGUGGUGGUCGACGAUGGCGUAUAAGCAAGCGGCGGCGGCGGGUAUAUCACUAAAUCCUGGUAAUAAUCCAUCUCGAUUUCAACUAGUCUUGGCCAAACAGAUGGUGGUGGUUCAGUCGACGAUGGCGUAUAAGAUGGUUGCCAACAGUAGUGACGCCGACGGUGGUGGUGGUUCAGUUCGUCGGAAAGCAUAAACUAGAGCACGUCAUCUCGUUUUCGAUCUGGAAGUUAUAUACGAAUCUGGAACAACAAGUUCAUACGGAUCCAUGUUUUAUCUGCGUUGGAAUUCUUUUCUCACCACUUGAGUUGCUGAUGUUGUGUCGGUUGCUGAUGUUGAGUUGCUGAGUUGCUCGGAAGGUGUUUGAUGUUGGUUUCGAUUCUUCAGAGCUGAAAAAUGAGAUGGGUGUGGGUUAAUGUUAUUGAAUUUGUUAAAGGAAUAUGUAAUUUUAUUUUCUUUAUGUUAGUAGAUUUUAUACAUUUUUUGUUUGUAAAUUUGUAUAAAUUAUGAUUAAUGUUAUUGAAAUUUUAUAGUUUUUA